GGUCGACUGGUGUAGUGGUUAUCAUGUUUGCUUUACAAUACUAUGUUGUACUACGCAAAAGGUCGCAGGUUCGAUCCCUGCGUCGACCA